rnacentral:rRNA from 1 species
CUACGGAGGGGACUAGCGUUGUUCGGAAUUACUGGGCGUAAAGAGUUCGUAGGCGGACUGAUAAGUAAGAGGUGAAAUCCCAGGGCUCAACCCUGGAACUGCCUUUUAAACUGUCAGUCUAGAGACCGUAAGAGGUUAGGGGAAUACCUAGUGUAGAGGUGAAAUUCGUAGAUAUUAGGUGGAACACCAGUGGCGAAGGCACCUAACUGGUCCGGUACUGACGCUGAGGAACGAAAGCGUGGGGAGCAAACAGGAUUAGAAACCCUAGUAGUCC